CCCAACCCGACUAAUCAAGAACUGAUCUACUACUUUAAAUAUACCCAAUGACUCAACCGUCACAGCUGUCUGUGCCAAUUAAUUCUGCUGAUUCACCACACCCUGGCUAAACAAACCCCUCCUCAUCUGUCUUAAAGGGACGUCCCUGUGCUCUCUGCUCCAAGACUCCCCCACGACAGGAAACAUCCUUUCUCCAUUUAUUCUCUCGGGCCUUUUUAAUAUUUGAUGAGUUUCAUUGAGAUCCCCCACAGUUUUCUAAACCACUGUGAGUACAGGCCCCAUCAACCAAAUGCUCCUCAAAUGUUAAUGCUUUCAUUUCCCUAGAUUAUCCUUGUGAACCUCCUCUGAAGCCUCUCCAAUGUCAGCACAGCUCUCCUUCGAUAAAGGUCCCAACACUGCUCACAAUGCUCCAGCUUUAACAACCUCAGAUACUACCGAAUGUCUGGUUGGAUAAUCACUGUUCUGGCCUCUAAAACUCCCUGUUCCGUACUCACAAGCCAAAAAGCAACAACAGUGCAACUGAGAAACUUCUCAACACCUUUUCGAAUGAACUACCCCUGCCUUCCUCUCCAAAGAUGCCAACAGGCAAGCCAAUUCUGAAUCCAAACUGGCAUAUCACCAUGGAUCCCGUGCACCCUACUAUGAGGGACGUUGUCAAACACCGAACUAAUGUUCAUGUAGACGACAUCCAUUAACAUGUCUACAUCAAUCAUCUUCUUCAGUCUAUUUUAUCUGCUGAGGGACUAUCCAGGUAGUGGUGUACAUUCCACCUCAGGCCAACAUCAGGCAGCCACCGGAGGAGCUCAGCGCCGUUAUCAGUAGCCACGAAGCAGCCUAAUUCCUUCCCAAUCAUUGCAGGGAAUUUCAACCAGGUCAACUUGAAGCCGUCUCUGACCAAUGACCCCCAACAUGUCACCUAUGGAUCCAGAGGAGCCAGCACACUGGAUCACUGUCACACCACCAUCAAGAAUGUUCACCAUCCUACACCCGCACCUUGGAAAACCCAUUUAGCUAGUUGUACUUCUACUUGUGGCAGCACCAAUGAUGAGAGGCAUGUCAAGGGAGGCAGAGGAGCUCUAACAGGGCUGUAUCAGAACAUCUUUCAUGAGGGUGUUCUCAAGUUGCAACUAGUCAGGCCCUGAUGGUGUACCUGGUAGGGCACUGAAAACCUGUACCAACCAACCAGCAUGAGCUUUCAAGGACAUCUUCAGUCUUUUACAACUACAGUUAGAGUACUACAGUUACCUGCUUCAAAAGGGUAACAAUCAUGCCAGUACCUGAGAAGAGCAAGGUGAAUUGUCUUAAUGACUAUUGCCCAGUUGCACUCACAUCUACUGUGAAUGAGUGCUUUGAGAGGUUGGUCAUGGUCGUAAUAAACUCAAUAGGUCAAUAGAGGAUGCAAUCACACUGGCUUCCACUCAGCUAUGAUCACCUGGACAAUACUUACAUCAGGCUACUAUUUAUUGAUUACAGCUCACCGUUCAACAAUAUCAUACCGUCAGUACUACUCAAUAAGCUCCAAAACCUGAGCCUCUAUAUCUCCCUCUGCAACUAGGUCCAAGAUUUCCUCUACAGGAGACCACAAUCUGUGCAGAUCGGAAAUAACAUCUCUUCCUCACUGACAAUCAACACUGGUGCACCUUAAGUAUGUGUACUUAGCCCACUGCUCUACACUCUCUAUACCCACAACUGUUUGGCUAGACACAGCUCAAAUGCUAUCUAUAAAUUUGCCAAUGACAUAACUAUUGUUGGCAGAAUUUCAGAUGGCAACGAGGAAGCACUGAGGAGUGAGAUAGAUCAGCUGGUUGAGUGGUGUAACAGCAACAACCUUGCACUCAACAUCAGUAAGAUCAAGGAAUUGAUUGUGGACUUCAGGAAGGGGAAGUCAACGGAACACACACCAGUCCUCAAUGAAGGCUCAGCAGUGGAAAGAGUGAGAAGUUUCAAGUUCCUGGAUGACAACAUCUCUGAAGAUCUAUCCUGGGCAGAACAGAUUGAUGCCAUUGCAAAGAAGGCACGACAGCAGCAUUAGGAGUUUGAGGAAUUUUGGUUUGUCACCAAAGACUCUCACAAAUUGCUACAGAUGUACUGUGGAGAGCAUUCUAAUUGGCUGUAUCACUGUCUGCUAUGGAAGGGUAACCGCACAGGAUCAGAAAAGGCUACAGGAAGUUGCAAACACAACCAGCUCCAUCAUGGGCACUAGCUUGCCCAGCAACAUGAACAUCUUCAGAAGGGAUGCCUCAAAAAGGCAGCAUCUGUCAUUAAGGACCACCAUCAUUCAGGGCAUGGUUUUUAACAUUAUCAUCAAGGAGGUGGUACAGGAGCUUGAAGACACACACUCAACAUUUUAGGAACAGCUUCUUACCCUCUGCCCUCAGUUUCCUGAAUGGACCCAUGUACAGUACCUCACUAUUUUUCCUAUUAUUUGCUUUC